GAUCCUGGCUCAGGAUGAACGCUAGCUACAGGCUUAACACAUGCAAGUCGAGGGGCAGCAUGAACUUAGCUUGCUAAGUUUGAUGGCGACCGGCGCACGGGUGAGUAACACGUAUCCAACCUGCCGAUGACUCGGGGAUAGCCUUUCGAAAGAAAGAUUAAUACCCGACUGGCAUAGUUCUUCCGCAUGGUAGAACUAUUAAAGAAAUUUACGGUUCAUCGAUGGGGAGUGCGUUCCACUUAGGUUGG
rnacentral:rRNA from 1 species